rnacentral:snRNA from 1 species
AUAUGACUUUAGUUAUAUUUGUU